GUGUUUUUUCGUGAAAAAAAACGUUCGAAUAAUAAAUAUUGUCUUUAUCUUCGCUUGUUUUCAUUCAGAUUCAUCAGAUCUGAUUCAGUAGUAUUCUCAAUCAUCGUGUGUUGUUCAUUCAUUACAUUGUACAUUGUCUCUUGUCUUUUGUUUUGUUUGAUUUUUUUUUCUUUGCAAACAUUCAAGGUGUAAAUUAAUAAUCCCACAUCUGUUUUUGCACAUUAUGUUUGGUGUGAUUGAUUACAGCAUACAAUACUUGUCUAUUUUUUUGAUAUUCAUCUAUUUCCAGCGAAAUUCUAUUUUCGAGAAAAAAAUUCAACCAAAGUGAAAGUAAAUGGAAAUUUGAUCUUGCCAAUUUUAUUCACAAUCAAUCAAAUGAAACGACUGCAGAGUAACUCGAAUCAACACCAAAAUCAUACUUUACCUUAUGUUGUAAAUUAUCAAAUGAAAGCCAAUCGAAACGCUCAAGUUAUUGUCAACAUUAUAGACGAUUUCUGUGAAGUGAAAAUACCACUCAAUAACAAAGUAAAUCUGAACAUUGAUUGAUUGGUUGAUUCAAGUGAUUGUUUUUGACGAAACCAAGUUCAUAAAUAACCGCCACACUGAUUCAAACUGCCUUCAUUUGAUUAUUGUAAUCCGGAAGCCGACCUGUUGGAACUUCGUCAACUA